rnacentral:rRNA from 1 species
CCUACGGGAGGCAGCAGUGAGGAAUAUUGGUCAAUGGACGAGAGUCUGAACCAGCCAAGUAGCGUGAAGGAUGACUGCCCUAUGGGUUGUAAACUUCUUUUAUAUGGGAAUAAAACGUUCCACGUGUGGGAUUUUGUAUGUACCAUAUGAAUAAGGAUCGGCUAACUCCGUGCCAGCAGCCGCGGUAAUACGGAGGAUCCGAGCGUUAUCCGGAUUUAUUGGGUUUAAAGGGAGCGUAGGUGGAUUUUUAAGUCAGUUGUGAAAGUUUGCGGCUCAACCGUAAAAUUGCAGUUGAAACUGGCAGUCUUGAGUACAGUAGAGGUGGGCGGAAUACGUGGUGUAGCGGUGAAAUGCUUAGAUAUCACGAAGAACUCCGAUUGCGAAGGCAGUUCACUGGACUGCAACUGACACUGAGGCUCGAAAGUGUGGGUAUCAAACAGGAUUAGAUACCCUUGUAGUC